rnacentral:rRNA from 1 species
UACGGAGGGUGCAAGCGUUGUUCGGAAUCAUUGGGCGUAAAGAGCGCGUAGGCGGCAAGGUAUGUCUGACGUGAAAGUCCGGGGCUUAACCUCGGAAGUGCGUUGGAAACUGCCUUACUUGAGUCCCGGAGGGGAUAGCGGAAUUCCAGGUGUAGAGGUGAAAUUCGUAGAUAUCUGGAGGAACACCUGUGGCGAAGGCGGCUAUCUGGACGGUGACUGACGCUGAGGCGCGAAAGCGUGGGGAGCAAACAGG